rfam:Gossypium arboreum cultivar AKA8401 contig_7606_1, whole genome shotgun sequence.
UGUUAAAAAUUUCAUUUAUUUGUACUGUUAAAAAUUGGCUUGAUUGAUAGAAUAAGUAGAUAGUGAGACAUGGCGUACCACGUGUACCUUAUGCUGAUGUACAAUGAUCAAUUUUUAACAAUAGAAAUGGAUGAAAUUUUUAACA